UUAAGAAGAGAUGUAGUCGGUCAAGGCCCAAGUGCCCAAAUUGUGAGCGGAGGCGAAGGGUGAGAUGAAAAAACCUUUCGCCUCAGUGGGGACUUGAGAACCGAUCCGAAGAGAGGUCAGAAGAGAGUGUCAGAGACCCUGGAGCUGGAGUGAGAGUAGCUGGAAGCCACCCACCUAGGUCCUCUGGAACAACAACAGGUCUCACAGCUGCUCAGCCUUCUCUUCAGGCCCGAACAACGGUUUGUAAGUUCAAUUAAUACUGGUGUGAUUAUAACAGUGAUCUGAUUCAUUUCUGAGUUAACAUGCACCUACAGCCUGGCCACACAGUCAAUGACAUAGCCUGGACCCAGUAAUAAACUGUAGACUCCAAACACGGCUACUUGACCAGUAGAAAUGAACUGGAGCUGGGCUUUGCGUGCCUCGUGUGCUUCCAGGGAGUUACACCCACGGCUCUCUGACACACAGCUGCUGAGGACCUCCAGUCCUUCCCCGUUACUAUGGUUACAGGGCUUCCUCCAGCUGCGGGUAGUGCUGCAGACAUGGAAUCCCAAUACUGGUACUGGAAGAUUAAGGCAGAAGGACUUCAAGAUUGUCUUGAAAGGGAGACCGGAGGCCAGUCUGUUCUUGCAACAUUAGGGAAGCCUGUCACCCAGACUUAACAAAAAUAAAUAAAUAAAUAAAAUAAAAAAUA